rnacentral:rRNA from 1 species
CACGUAGGGCGCAAGCGUUGUCCGGAAUUAUUGGGCGUAAAGAGCUCGUAGGCGGUCUGUUGCGUCCGCUGUGAAAACUCGGGGCUUAACCCCGAGCCUGCAGUGGAUACGGGCAGACUAGAGGUAGGUAGGGGAGAAUGGAAUUCCCGGUGUAGCGGUGAAAUGCGUAGAGAUGUGGAGGAACACCGAUGGCGAAGGCAGCCCCCUGGGCUAACACUGACGCUCAUGCACGAAAGCGUGGGGAGCGAACAGG